rnacentral:rRNA from 1 species
AUUGAACGCUGGCGGCAGACUUAAUACAUGCAAGUCGAGCGAGCGGCGGACGGGUGAGUAAUGUCUUGGAAACUGCCUGAUGGAGGGGUAUAACUACUGGAACCGGUAGCUAAUACCGCAUACCAUCAUUUGUGCCCAGAUUGGAUUAGCUAGUAGGUGGGGUAAUGGCUGCCGUAGGCGACGAUCCCUAGCUGGUCUGAGAGGCUGACCAGCCACACUGGGACUGAGACACGGCCCAGACUCCUACGGGAGGCAGCAGUGGGGAAUAUUGCGCAAUGGGCGAAAGCCUGAUGCAGCCAUGCCGCGUGUGUGAAGAAGGCAUUCGGGUUGUAAAGCACUGUCAGCGAGGAGGCGUUACUCGCAGAAGAAGCAACGGCUAACUCCGUGCCAGCAGCCGCGGUAAUAC